rnacentral:rRNA from 1 species
CCUACGGGUGGCAGCAGUGGGGAAUAUUGGACAAUGGGGGAAACCCUGAUCCAGCCAUGCCGCGUGUGUGAAGAAGGCCCUCGGGUUGUAAAGCACUUUCAGUGAGGAAGAACGCCUGGUGGUUAAUACCCAUCAGGAAAGACAUCACUCACAGAAGAAGCACCGGCUAACUCCGUGCCAGCAGCCGCGGUAAUACGGAGGGUGCGAGCGUUAAUCGGAAUUACUGGGCGUAAAGCGCGCGUAGGUGGCUUGAUAAGCCGGUUGUGAAAGCCCCGGGCUCAACCUGGGAACGGCAUCCGGAACUGUCAAGCUAGAGUGCAGGAGAGGAAGGUAGAAUUCCCGGUGUAGCGGUGAAAUGCGUAGAGAUCGGGAGGAAUACCAGUGGCGAAGGCGGCCUUCUGGACUGACACUGACACUGAGGUGCGAAAGCGUGGGUAGCAAACAGGAUUAGAUACCCUUGUAGUC